GAGGACUUUUCCUGUGGCACCGCAUUGGGCGGGGCCUAUGGCCAGGCGCCCAGCCCGGGACGCGGUAGAAUGGCGGACGGAACGCAGACCUGGGGUUGGGUCUGUUGCAGUGUCCGCCGGAGCGGUUUGGGAAGUGCACAGGGCAAAGAUGGCGGCGGAGGAGCAGGAGGCGUUGAGGGAGUUCAUGGCGGUGAUGGGCACUGAGGAGGAAAGGGCUCGUUUCGUCCUGGAGACGGCUAGCUGGGACCUGCAGGUAGCGCCGCGAGGCGGGCCGCUUCGGGCGGGCUGGGGAAUGCGGAGUGCGGCGUCCGCUCUGCGGCCGAAGCGCACAGUUAUCCGUGCGGGGCUGGGCCCUGCCUGGCCCAGGCCUCAUGGUGUCUGUGGUCGCUUGCCACGCGUCUCCGGCCUGGCUUGGAAGUUCAUGCACGCGGGCGGGCCCGGCCUGCUUUUCAGGGCCUCCGUUUUCCGGCGGGCUCGCAGUGUUAGCGAGACUUUGGGCGCUGCGGCAGUCUGUGUGGAGUCGUCGCCUGGGGACGUGGCUGCCGCGGCGAGUGCUUGCGGGUGGCCCGGUGGAAUCGAGUGCCCGGCUUCCAGAUGGAGCCCCACCGAGGUCGCGGUGGCCUUCCGAUUCCGCUUCUGCAAGGAUGCUGUGCUGGUGGGGGAAACCCUGCAGGGCAUCAGCCCACGCCCCACUCUUACCUAAUUGCAGGGAGAAACUACCUGUGGGACUGUGGCGCACGUUUGGGAUCUCUGCACAUUUCGUAGUUAACUGUAAAAUGAGAAUUUCUUAGGACUUACUGUCUUGUUCGCUGGCAUGUAGUAAAUAUUCCUUAAGGAAUUAAUUUAAAAGACAAAGCUCCACCAGGCAUGAAAUAUUGCACACUUCUGAUUCCUAGAGCAACGCCCAUCUCUUAGUGCUCAGAAGCACAGUAAUUAAUGUUAGAAAGAACUGAUUGCAUGAAUGUCCUUGGCCAGCCUACAUCUUAGGUAGAUGAUGAUGACUAAUAUUUCUAGAGUACCUACAACAAGCCAGGCACUGUUCAGCAUUACAAAAUGUCUCAUUUACAUGUCUCACAUUGCAGCUGAGACUUUGGAGGAUAAAUAACUUGCUGAAGAACUUACUAACUACUAAUUAAACAGGUAAAGACUAAUCCUAUCUUAUGGAUGAGGAAUUGGACCCUCAAAGGGACACCGAAUGUGCUCACUGUGUGAGCUUUCUGAUGUAACCAUGUCUACUGACUGUAAUAUAUAAAUAGCUUCCCAAACAUUAGGGAUCUUUAUUCCUGUAACUCUUUCAGCACUCUGGAGGCAGAAGAUCUCUGAGUUCGAGACCAGCCUGAUCUACAUAGUUCCAGGAGUAAAUAGUCCCUCUUUCAAAAUCAUAACAAACAAAAAGAGGUCAGAUGCUCUUAAAGGCGCUGUAACGCCUCUGUGCUGAGUGGACAUACAUGAGAGAAAAGCUUCUAUCCCAGCAGAUCAUCCGAACUGAGGCUCUUACCUGUGUGGUAACUUGACUAACAGCGCCAGGACUUGAAUGCAGGUUCUCUAAAUGUCAGUUUAGUACACCUCCUACGAUGGCACAUGACUUCCCAGAAGCUGGUUAUACUACAUGAAGAAUACCUUCAGACUGAUUGUCCCAUGACAGCUCAUUUCCUCCUAUACAGUUGGUUACCUUUUAGACAGGAGGUGCCUCCUCCAUCUCUGUGGAACUUCAUUGUUCUGUCUUCUCUCUUUGUGUGGAGAAUGUGUGAUAAAUCAAUGCCUUCUCGUUGAGUUGGCGACAGUCACAAAUGACCAAAGGACUCAUAUGAAGGGCUUCCACAUGUGUAAAGCUAAGGUGACUGCGUUAACUUUAGUGCUUAUCUCCUUCACUUUUAUAGGUUUGUUGGAACAGCAUCCCCAUUUCAAACAGGAACCGGGCUUCACAAAGAAAGGAAAUGUAGCAUCUGUCCCUAUGCUCUUCUUCCUCUUAGAACAUAAGCGUGAGGGCCUGAGCAUGCUGCCUGGGGUUGAACCUGACCCCAUUUCUUACCUCCAGAAGCUGUCUUCAUUUUGCAGUCCGUUUGUGCCUGCUAUAAAAUGAGACAAUAAUAAUACUAAUUACGAAAUUCUGAGUAGAUGAAAGUAAUUAACAUAUAGUGUACAGACAAAUAAUAGUUGGUGGUCUUCCUUUAUGUUUUUCAUAUUAAUUUUAUUUAGUAUCUUUGUUCCCCUUGGUGGGUGGAUUUCCCCCUGAAGUAAUAUAUCCCCAUCUCCACUUCCAGGCUAACAUGUCUAUUGCCUUUCCAUCUCAUCUUCUUUAAUUGUGGUCUCCUGUUAUUUUUGUUGUGAGAGUUAAGAUUCUGUUCAUGUGACUGUCUUCUUUUAGGUGUUUUGAAAGAUUUCUUUCUUGCUUUUUCUAGGGUGUAAUUUCCCUCCUUGUGUUGGAGUUCUCACUUUAUCAUCCUUUGAAGGGCUGGUUUUUGUGGAAAAAUAAUGUGUGAAUUUGGUUUUGUCAUGUUUUUCUGAUGAUUUCCUUUAGUGGGCACCCGAGAUACAAAGCCCUUCAUUUCACAGGCAUGAAGAUGGGGUUGAGGACAUGAAGCAGCAAGGUAGUCGUAGAUAUCAGGUGCCCCAUACAGCAUCAUUUGUAUAACUUCAUUCAUCAACAAACAUUACCUUCUUCAGAGGUUAGUUUUCACAUCUAAGACAGUAAGUGACUACUAAAGCGUUUUACAGGGACUUUAAUAACCUCUCAGAAUAGCUGAUCAAAGUGACUUAAAUGGAACUAGUGCAUUAAGACACUUGGGACUAAAGCGUAUCUUGAAAUAAUUUUAAGAGCUAUGGACAAUGGGGUCCCCUUAGAACCUUAAAAAUACUAUAUUCUGGGAUUACUUCAUCUCUGUUUGAUUUAGGGUGUGGUAAGGAAUUUUGUAAGUUUCCCAGGUGAUUCAGGUGUUCAGCCAGGGUAAGAGUGGAUAGUCUAGGUAUUCAAUUUCAUGAAGGUAAAAUCAACUUGUUCUCAUGAUCCUUUGUACACAAUAGCAAGGAGUAAUGAAGAGUUACCAUCUAAAAUUUUGGAGAAUUAAAUGUAUCCUACAUUAUCUUCUGUUGAAACAUCCUAUUUGAAUUUGUUAAUCAACAAUGUGAUCCAAAGGAAAGGAAAUUGGCAUUUCUAACUGAGGAAAAUGAAAGGGGAAACCUUUCUUUAUUAUGGCACUAAUAAAUUAAAAACAAGG
rnacentral:lncRNA from 1 species